ACCACCUCACAGCUAAACUUUGCGUGCCAGAAACCAUUCUUAUCGUGUUAUAUGUAUUAGCUUAUUUAAUUCUCACACAACCACAUUUUAAAGAUGAAGAAACUGAAGCACAAAGAAGUUUACAGAAUCUGCUGAAGGUUACAUCAGGAAGUGGUGCAACCAGGACUCAAACCCAGUGGUACAGUAUUGGAAUUAAGAGCUGGGCUCUGAAGUAAACCUACCUGGAUUCAUAGUUGGGCUACUGACACACAGGCCAGAUGACCUUGGAAGUAAAUACCAAGUACUGAGCAUCGGUGCUGUGCAGAAAUCAUUAGUGCUGUUCACCCAAAAUUUGGGGUUUUCUUCUCAAGCAGAUGGACUCAGAGAAAUCUUCCAAUGUGGCAGCACAUUUCUCAGCCUCAAGUAUACUACAGUCAACGAGACAGAUGUAGCCCCCACUCUCAUAAAGCCCCUUCUAGCAGGAGGAACAGACAAUGAUGUGAGUGACUCAGCCACAUUAGUGGGGAGGCUGAAGGAGUCUUCUCUGAAGAGCUAACAGUAAAAGUAAAAUCUGAACAACAGGGGACCAGCCAUGUGAAAACAGGGAGAAAGAAAAUCUAGGGAGGUAAAACAACUUGUACAGAGUGCCCUACCACAGGAAUGAGCUUGGCACAUUUGAAGAACAGCUCAUAGUCCACAGUAGAGUAUGGUGGUUGAAGGGGCAAGUAAUAGAAGCCUUUUGAAGAAUAGGCAGGUCCAGAUCAUAGAAGGCUUUAUAAGCUAGGGUAAGGAGUUUGGGAUUUAUUCUAAAUGGGAAAACACUAGAGGAUUUUGAGCACCAGAGGGAUGUGAUUUUAUUAAGUUGUAAAAAGUUCACCCUAACUGAAGUGUGGAGAAUGAAUUAAGAGGGGGCAAGUGUAGAAGGAAAUGGACCCAGGAGAAAUGCACUGCAGCAGCCCAGGUAAGAGGUUGGAAUGAUGGCGAGAAGAGGACAGGUUUGGGAUGUUUUAAGGUGGGUUUGACACAUCUUAAUGACACAUUGCAUGAAAAGAUGAGGGAAUCAAGAAUAACUCUCAGACGUUGGCUUCAGCUACUGGGUGGAAAUUGGUGCCAUUUUACUAAGCUGGGCUAAAUGUCAACUAAGGUGUUUUGAUAACAUUUGCAUUUAAUUGUGGCCUUUAAUGUCUUUAGCAGGAACAUGAAUAUUUAGGAGAUUGCAGAAAUAGUAGGGGAAAUACUUUUGAAAUGCUGAGAGGAGAAUAUUUCCUUCCUUAAAAAAAAAAAAAAGAAAGAAAGCAAAACUGAUUUUCUGAAUUUGGCAAUGAAAGCUGGACCUCCUCAAUGGCAUGAGGUGAUAUGACCUUUUCCUGCUAGAUUCACCCCUCCACUUGGCAAAAUCUUCUCUUUGGCCCAAAGAGCAAGAAGGAAGGGGAAAUCCUGAUUUUCCUUUAAUGCUUGAUCCAAAUAUGACUCUUCCUUUGGUAUCUUUGAGCAUGUCUUUGACACAGCAUGAACAUUUAAAUAUGAAACAGAUGUAAGACAUACCAUGAAACUCAAUUUUUUAGUUUACCGAGACAUAACUUUUCCCCAACUUUCUGUCCACUAUAGAUCUCUUUUAAAUUCCUUAUCCUCCCUCAGGAGGUGGAGAUAGUGGGCUGUUGGGAGUCCCUGUUAUCUUAGCACAUCCACCGUCCAAACACUCAGUCCAAGACCUCUCCUUUCAUCUAGCCUGGUGUUCAAAUUCUCCCUCUUUCUCUUACUCAAGGCCUCCCCUUUCUUGAAUGAAUGAUGCUGGGGAUAACCCCUUCCCUAUCCAGAGGACUGUGGUAUCUGCCUCUUUAAGUUCAAAACAAUCACAUACAAGCAAUACACAUGCACUUGCUGGGGCAGGAAGGGGUGGGAUCCUUUCCUUCCUUUAGCCUUUUGGCAUCUCAAAUUAGUCUAUGUGAAAGGCCUUCUCUUUACAGACACCUAAUGAUUAAGAAGUCAGACUCUGGGGAGAGACCACCAGUUUUCAAAUCUUAUCCCUAUUGCUUACUAGAUGAGUGAACUUAAGCAUUUAUUUAACCUCUCUGAGCCUCAGUUCUUCUUAUGAAGAUCAGGGAUAAUAGUACCAAUCUCACAGGGUUGUUGUGAGGAUUAAAUGAGAUGGUAUAUGUAAAAUGCUUACCCCAAUGACUAGUUCUUAGUAAAUUCUCAAUAUACAUUAGCUAUUAUUAUUAUUAUUACAGAAAUAUCAUCAUCAUCAUUAUCAUCAUCAUGAUUAUCAUCAUCCCAGUUCAUAUUGAAAUCAAGAUGUACAAUCGUGGUUACAAAUUUUUCAUAGACUCAACCCAGAAAUAGAGUGCUUUGGUGCAAUAUCUGGGGCAUAUGCAUAGAGGAUCAUAAAUAAAUUAAUAACUAAGUUUC